UGCAUAUCAAAUUAGCGGAGGAAAAGAAACCAACAGGGAUUGCCUCAGUAACGGCGAGUGAAGCGGCAAAAGCUCAAAUUUGAAAUCCCCCCGGGGAGUUGUAAUUUGAAGAUUGCGUCUUGGAGGCGACCGUGUCUAUGUUCCUUGGAACAGGACGUCACAGAGGGUGAGAAUCCCGUGCGGCACGGCCCCCGGCUCCUUAUAAGGCGCUCUCGACGAGUCGAGUUGUUUGGGAAUGCAGCUCAAAGUGGGUGGUAAAUUCCAUCUAAAGCUAAAUACAGGCGAGAGACCGAUAGCGAACAAGUACAGUGAUGGAAAGAUGAAAAGCACUUUGAAAAGAGAGUGAAACAGCACGUGAAAUUGUUGAAAGGGAAGGGCAUGCCGUCAGAUUGUCAGUGUGGGUAAGAAGCGGGGUACAAAGACUGUGGAACGUGGCCCUCGGGUGUUAUAGCCGCAGUUCAUGCCCCGUCUCUUUCCGAGGCCUGCUUUGAGGACACCGACGUAAUGACGGUACGCCGCCCGUCUUGAAAACACG
rnacentral:rRNA from 1 species